CACGUAGGGUGCGAGCGUUGUCCGGAAUUAUUGGGCGUAAAGAGCUCGUAGGCGGUGUGUCGCGUCGGCCGUGAAAACUUGCAGCUUAACUGUGGGCGUGCGGUCGAUACGGGCAUCACUGGAGUUCGGCAGGGGAGACUGGAAUCCUGGUGUAGCGGUGAAAUGCGCAGAUAUCAGGAGGAACACCGGUGGCGGAAGGCGGGUCUCUGGGCCGAUACUGACGCUGGAGGAGCGGAAAGCGUGGGGGAGCGAACAGG
rnacentral:rRNA from 1 species